CAUGAAGUCACAGGAGCUUUACCUCAUGUAGAAGAAAACUUGAGCCUUUUAGUGUGGUUCUAGAUACAUGGAUACAGAGACAGAUUCCAGCUCCACACAAAGAGGACAUUUCUGACAGAAUAGUCUGACCAGAGUCGACUGCAUUAGAAGAUGAGAUGAACAAGGAAGCUCAGAUAAGCAAGAAUCCUAGGUGGAGUCUUUUAAUCUUUCUGACUCUUCCCCUCAAAAACUGAUAGAGUAACUAUAUAGGUAAACAUAUAAGCAAACACAGAAAAAUCCCAUGGACAACAUCUACUAAAAAACAAGGAAGAAGAAUUAACUAAAAGGGAAGAGGGCAGCAAAGACUAGGACACAACAUUGUCUUGGAGAUUAGGCCAAGAUGGCCGACUACAAGCAGCCUGCGCCACACUGCUCUCACGGAGAGGAUCGAAAGAUUUGAAUAGAUAUCCACCUUUGAAUCAAUCCUUUGAGCGAGAACACCUGAAAUUCAUGGAGAGGAUGCAGAAGUGGAGUGAAGGAGACAGAAGUAGAUUGAAGAAGACAGAAGGGGGACAACCUGCUCAGCAGGAUUGGAGGUAACUAGGGAAGGUGCCCACACAUGGGAAAGGGACAAAGGAGAGAAUCCUGGGCUCCACACUUCCCCUGAGGAUACUGCAACCGGAGAGGCAGGAGGACUCCUCUACCACAGCAGGCCUCUAGAUUGAUAUAGAGAACUGACUGGAGACUGUGCAGCUGUGUUGCACAGAGAGAAGGGACGGCUGGCUUGCAAGCUCUGGGUGCUUGGCUGGAACCAUUGUAGCAUCCCAACCCCAGAAUGCUACUUUUGCCCAGGGGUCAGAUCUAAGAAUGAUGCCUCCAGCCUCACCCUGCCAGGUGGGGAGGGAGGAGGGAAUCUCAGCAUUUGCAAGUGCUUCAUGGGCAGGUGACAUGCACCCCCAUUGCUUCUGCUGCCACUGGGGGCCCCUGGGAAGAACAGGAGACCAUGGGCCUGGUGCCCACUGCUGUGCCUUGUACUAUCACACUCAACCGCACUUCCCUCCGGUGGAGCACACACCCAGAGCUCUCAGUGCCUGCUACCCACUACUGGGGCAACUGGAUCACUACCACUGCCACUGCUUGGGAGGCCCCAAGGAGGACAAUCACCUGUCACCUUUGCACAUGAGUGGACUUCAUGCUGUGGAUGUAUGCCGUCCCACGCAGGUGCUCUGGGCUCCACACCUUGCUCACCCCCUGACCUACCCACCCACCCUGCCCUGCAGCUGUCUCAGCCUGAACAUGUGAGCAGGACACCCUACAGACCUGCUUCAUCUCACAUAGGCACCCUCGCCUAUGGGUCCAGCUCUGCCCUUCGCAUGAGCUGUGACCUGAUGGCCCACUAUACACCUGGCACCUGCUCCAUCCCAUAAGCCUGCUACACCCUGCACAUUCAUCACAUCCUGCAUGCCCCUUGCCCCACCCAUGUGCCCAGCACUUUAGCCACCCAGGCCUGCACCCAUGGACAUGGCGCCCAGAGGACUUCCUACAUCUUGUGUGCAUGCUCCAUCCCGCUGGCCAGCCCCACUUGGCAUGUCCAUCCUGAACCAGUCUCAGAUCUGAUCCCUGCCACAGUGGCCCAGUGACAACCACAGAGAAACAGGGGACAUGGAUUGGGAGAAAAUAUUUGUGAACUAUACAUCUGAUAAGGGG